AUUGAACGCUGGCGGCAUGCCUUACACAUGCAAGUCGAACGGCAGCACGGGGCAACCUGGUGGCGAGUGGCGAACGGGUGAGUAAUGCAUCGGAACGUACCUUUCAGUGGGGGAUAACGUAGCGAAAGUUACGCUAAUACCGCAUAUUCUGUGAGCAGGAAAGCAGGGGAUCGCAAGACCUUGCGCUGAUUGAGCGGCCGAUGUCAGAUUAGCUAGUUGGUGAGGUAAAGGCUCACCAAGGCGACGAUCCGGAGCGGGUUUGAGAGGAUGAUCCGCCACACUGGAACUGAGACACGGUCCAGACUCCUACGGGAGGCAGCAGUGGGGAAUUUUGGAUAAUGGGGGCAACCCUGAUCCAGCCAUGCCGCGUGAGUGAAGAAGGCCUUCGGGUUGUAAAGCUCUUUCGGCCGGGAAGAAAUCGCACGGGCUAAUACCCUGUGUGGAUGACGGUACCGGAAUAAGAAGCACCGGCUAACUACGUGCCAGCCGCCGCCGUAAUAC
rnacentral:rRNA from 1 species